rnacentral:rRNA from 1 species
AACGAACGCUGGCGGCAUGCCUAACACAUGCAAGUCGAACGAGACCUUCGGGUCUAGUGGCGCACGGGUGCGUAACGCGUGGGAACCUGCCCUUAGGUUCGGAAUAACUCCCCGACAGGGGUGCUAAUACCGGAUAAUGUCUUCGGACCAAAGAUUUAUCGCCUUUGGAUGGGCCCGCGUUGGAUUAGCUAGUUGGUAGGGUAAAAGCCUACCAAGGCGACGAUCCAUAGCUGGUCUGAGAGGAUGAUCAGCCACACUGGGACUGAGACACGGCCCAGACUCCUACGGGAGGCAGCAGUGGGGAAUAUUGGACAAUGGGCGAAAGCCUGAUCCAGCAAUGCCGCGUGAGUGAUGAAGGCCUUAGAGUUGUAAAGCUCUUUUACCCGGGAUGAUAAUGACAGUACCGGGAGAAUAAGCUCCGGCUAACUCCGUG